UGGGGAAUAUUGGACAAUGGGCGAAAGCCUGAUCCAGCCAUGCCGCGUGUGUGAAGAAGGUCUUCGGAUUGUAAAGCACUUUAAGUUGGGAGGAAGGGCAGUAAGCGAAUACCUUGCUGUUUUGACGUUACCGACAGAAUAAGCACCGGCUAACUCUGUGCCAGCAGCCGCGGUAAUACAGAGGGUGCAAGCGUUAAUCGGAAUUACUGGGCGUAAAGCGCGCGUAGGUGGUUCGUUAAGUUGAAUGUGAAAGCCCCGGGCUCAACCUGGGAACUGCAUCCAAAACUGGCGAGCUAGAGUAGGGCAGAGGGUGGUGGAAUUUCCUGUGUAGCGGUGAAAUGCGUAGAUAUAGGAAGGAACACCAGUGGCGAAGGCGACCACCUGGGCUCAUACUGACACUGAGGUGCGAAUGCGUGGGGAGCAAACAGG
rnacentral:rRNA from 1 species